rnacentral:lncRNA from 1 species
AACCCUUCAUACACACAUACACAACUGUCGUGUGUAGGUGAAUGCACACAGAAAUCACAUAGUGUAAGCAUGUAAAAAAUGCAGAGUGGAAGUGUCAGAUUUUUUAAUACAUUUGACUCCUUUGUUUUGUGAAGAAUCAAAAUGUAAUUCAGUGGACUUCAAAAAGAAACAUUAUUUAAAUGUCUUAACGGAAAGCAGAUGCCUAUAAUGGAAGCAUCUGGGGACCAAGUCAGGAGUACUGUAAGUGAAGGCCAGGCUGGACUUCAGUGUGAGACCAAGCAGUGAAUCACUGCUGCAAUCACCAGGAAAAGACAGCACUUCUGACAGCUCCUGCAGGUCUUGCGUAUCCCAUGGCUGCCUCCUCAGGUUCUCAUUGAUGGUGAUUGUCUCAUGAUGUCCACUCCAUCACCUUCCCCAUUGCAGUUUCACCCAGGACAUCAACUCUCUCUAGGAAGCUGCUUUUCCAGUAUGCCUCCAGAAGUCCACCAGCUUGCUACUACUGUAUGAAUAAUAAAAACAAAACAAAAAAGCCAUGUUUCACGUCGUGACCACCGGAGGGCCGUCUAGGAUCAAUCUUGGAAUGAGUGAGACACUGCCAAAUCUCCACCUUACAGUGGUGUAGCCACAAAUGCUCUGGCUACAUUAAGCUCAGCAUGGUUCUAAUGAAGAGUUUCUUAUGAAGUAUCCUUGUCAAGAUAGAACACUCAGACUUAAGUCCAUGAAAUGUGGGUUACAUGAUUUUCUACAAAGCUGCCAGUACACAUUGUGGAAAGACAGACAUCAUCAAGAAACUGUGUUGAGAAAGUUCACUGUUAACCUGCCAACUCCAAAUGGACCAAAUAUUUAAAACCUCAGAAUUUGAAACUGCUGGAAGAGAAAGGCUUCAGGUUUCUGGAAAUUGACAAAUGGUCAUAACAAAUAUAAAAGCUUAUUACAGCAGUAGAGAUGAACCACCUUCCCAGGGGAUGGCUGGACCCUCCCACACCAAUCAAUCACCAAGAAAAUGUGUACAGACCAACAUAAUGGAGGUAUUUCCUGAUCCAAGUUAGGUCUCCAAAUGACUCUAGUUGUGUAAAGGUGAGAAAAAUACAGG